AGAGUUUGAUCCUGGCUCAGGACGAACGCUGGCGGCGUGCCUAAUACAUGCAAGUAGAACGCUGAAGGGAGGAGCUUGCUCUUCUUGGAUGAGUUGCGAACGGGUGAGUAACGCGUAGGUAACCUGCCUUGUAGCGGGGGAUAACUAUUGGAAACGAUAGCUAAUACCGCAUAACAAUGGAUGACACAUGUCAUUUAUUUGAAAGGGGCAAUUGUUCCACUACAAGAUGGACCUGCGUUGUAUUAGCUAGUAGGUGAGGUAAUGGCUCACCUAGGCGACGAUACAUAGCCGACCUGAGAGGGUGAUCGGCCACACUGGGACUGAGACACGGCCCAGACUCCUACGGGAGGCAGCAGUAGGGAAUCUUCGGCAAUGGGGGCAACCCUGACCGAGCAACGCCGCGUGAGUGAAGAAGGUUUUCGGAUCGUAAAGCUCUGUUGUAAGUCAAGAACGGGUGUGAGAGUGGAAAGUUCACACUGUGACGGUAGCUUACCAGAAAGGGACGGCUAACUACGUGCCAGCAGCCGCGGUAAUACGUAGGUCCCGAGCGUUGUCCGGAUUUAUUGGGCGUAAAGCGAGCGCAGGCGGUUUGAUAAGUCUGAAGUUAAAGGCUGUGGCUCAACCAUAGUUCGCUUUGGAAACUGUCAAACUUGAGUGCAGAAGGGGAGAGUGGAAUUCCAUGUGUAGCGGUGAAAUGCGUAGAUAUAUGGAGGAACACCGGUGGCGAAAGCGGCUCUCUGGUCUGUAACUGACGCUGAGGCUCGAAAGCGUGGGGAGCGAACAGGAUUAGAUACCCUGGUAGUCCACGCCGUAAACGAUGAGUGCUAGGUGUUGGAUCCUUUCCGGGAUUCAGUGCCGCAGCUAACGCAUUAAGCACUCCGCCUGGGGAGUACGACCGCAAGGUUGAAACACAAAGGAAUUGACGGGGGCCCGCACAAGCGGUGGAGCAUGUGGUUUAAUUCGAAGCAACGCGAAGAACCUUACCAGGUCUUGACAUCCCGAUGCUAUUUCUAGAGAUAGAAAGUUACUUCGGUACAUCGGUGACAGGUGGUGCAUGGUUGUCGUCAGCUCGUGUCGUGAGAUGUUGGGUUAAGUCCCGCAACGAGCGCAACCCCUAUUGUUAGUUGCCAUCAUUCAGUUGGGCACUCUAGCGAGACUGCCGGUAAUAAACCGGAGGAAGGUGGGGAUGACGUCAAAUCAUCAUGCCCCUUAUGACCUGGGCUACACACGUGCUACAAUGGUUGGUACAACGAGUUGCGAGUCGGUGACGGCGAGCUAAUCUCUUAAAGCCAAUCUCAGUUCGGAUUGUAGGCUGCAACUCGCCUACAUGAAGUCGGAAUCGCUAGUAAUCGCGGAUCAGCACGCCGCGGUGAAUACGUUCCCGGGCCUUGUACACACCGCCCGUCACACCACGAGAGUUUGUAACACCCGAAGUCGGUGAGGUAACCUUUUGGAGCCAGCCGCCUAAGGUGGGACAGAUGAUUGGGGUGAAGUCGUAACAAGGUA
rnacentral:rRNA from 1 species